rnacentral:rRNA from 1 species
AAGCUUGAUCCUGGCUCAGAUUGAACGCUGGCGGCAUGCCUUACACAUGCAAGUCGAACGGCAGCACGGACUUCGGUCUGGUGGCGAGUGGCGAACGGGUGAGUAAUGUAUCGGAACGUACCUUUCAGUGGGGGAUAACGUAGCGAAAGUUACGCUAAUACCGCAUAUUCUGUGAGCAGGAAAGCAGGGGAUCGCAAGACCUUGCGCUGAUUGAGCGGCCGAUAUCAGAUUAGCUAGUUGGUGGGGUAAAGGCCUACCAAGGCUACGAUCUGUAGCGGGUCUGAGAGGAUGAUCCGCCACACUGGAACUGAGACACGGUCCAGACUCCUACGGGAGGCAGCAGUGGGGAAUUUUGGACAAUGGGGGCAACCCUGAUCCAGCCAUGCCGCGUGAGUGAAGAAGGCCUUCGGGUUGUAAAGCUCUUUCGGCCGGGAAGAAAUCGCAUAGGUUAAUACCCUGUGUGGAUGACGGUACCGGAAUAAGAAGCACCGGCUAACUACGUGCCAGCAGCCGCGGUAAUACGUAGGGUGCGAGCGUUAAUCGGAAUUACUGGGCGUAAAGCGUGCGCAGGCGGUUGUGUAAGACAGGCGUGAAAUCCCCGGGCUCAACCUGGGAACUGCGCUUGUGACUGCACAGCUAGAGUACGGCAGAGGGGGGUGGAAUUCCACGUGUAGCAGUGAAAUGCGUAGAGAUGUGGAGGAACACCGAUGGCGAAGGCAGCCCCCUGGGCCGAUACUGACGCUCAUGCACGAAAGCGUGGGUAGCAAACAGGAUUAGAUACCCUGGUAGUCCACGCCCUAAACGAUGUCAACUAGGUGUUGGGUGGGUAAAACCAUUUAGUACCGUAGCUAACGCGUGAAGUUGACCGCCUGGGGAGUACGGCCGCAAGGUUAAAACUCAAAGGAAUUGACGGGGACCCGCACAAGCGGUGGAUGAUGUGGAUUAAUUCGAUGCAACGCGAAAAACCUUACCUACCCUUGACAUGUCCAGAAGCCCGGAGAGAUUUGGGUGUGCCCGAAAGGGAACUGGAACACAGGUGCUGCAUGGCUGUCGUCGGAU